rnacentral:rRNA from 1 species
CCUACGGGAGGCUGCAGUGGGGAAUAUUGGACAAUGGGGGGAACCCUGAUCCAGCCAUGCCGCGUGUGUGAAGAAGGCCCUCGGGUUGUAAAGCACUUUCAGUGAGGAAGAACGCCUGGUGGUUAAUACCCAUCAGGAAAGACAUCACUCACAGAAGAAGCACCGGCUAACUCCGUGCCAGCAGCCGCGGUAAUACGGAGGGUGCGAGCGUUAAUCGGAAUUACUGGGCGUAAAGCGCGCGUAGGUGGCUUGAUAAGCCGGUUGUGAAAGCCCCGGGCUCAAUCUGGGAACGGCAUCCGGAACUGUCAAGCUAGAGUGCAGGAGAGGAAGGUAGAAUUCCCGGUGGAGCGGUGAAAUGCGUAGAGAUCGGGAGGAAUACCAGUGGCGAAGGCGGCCUUCUGGACUGACACUGACACUGAGGUGCGAAGGCGUGGGUAGCAAACAGGAUUAGAUACCCCAGUAGUC